AUUGAACGCUGGCGGCAGGCCUAACACAUGCAAGUCGAACGAGUGGCGGACGGGGGAGUAAUGUCUGGGAAACUGCCCGAUGGAGGGGGAUAACAACUGGAAACGGUAGCUAAUACCGCAUACCCUCUGAUGUGCCCAGAUGGGGUUAGCUCGUAGGGGGGGUAACGGCUCACCUAGGCGACGAUCCCUAGCUGGUCUGAGAGGAUGACCAGCCACACUGGAACUGAGACACGGUCCAGACUCCUACGGGAGGCAGCAGUGGGGAAUAUUGCACAAUGGGCGCAAGCCUGAUGCAGCCAUGCCGCGUGUAUGAAGAAGGCCUGCGGGUUGUAAAGUACUUUCAGCGAGGAGGCGUUACUCGCAGAAGAAGCACCGGCUAACUCCGUGCCAGCAGCCGCGGUAAUUC
rnacentral:rRNA from 1 species